UAUCUCACCAAUUAGAACCCUAAUUCAUUUUGCUCAAUCUUCAGCACUGCAGCCCGUUAGACUCUCCCGCGUCCUCGCCCAUUGCCAUCUCUCAUCCAGCCCGGUGCUUUUUGAGUUGGAUUUGGAAACUUGAAGAGAUUGGGCCUAUAGACCCUUCUUUGAAUCCUACAAAUUCGACAUGCUUGAGAAAAGCUGAUCUUCUAUUUGUCAUGAGAGCCUCCAAAAGAGUGCACUUUAUUUAGUCCUAUGGAGGAAAAUUUGCUGUCACUCUUGGAUUAUCAGUGCUAAAGGCUAUAGAGGCAGUAAAACUAAAGCACAAUUUUGAAGGCAUCAAGGAAGAGGGAAGUUGCUGGCCUUGUGGUUGAUAUAAUACGCCAAAAAGAAGAUGGGUGGACGUGCAUUAUUACUUGUUAGUCCUCUUGAUACUGGGAAAAUAGAUCUCGUCCUUGGAAUAUCCCAAGAAAUU